rnacentral:misc_RNA from 1 species
GACUUGCAGGUAAGUAAUUUACAUUCCUUAAUGCCCAUUUUUAUUUCUCCUAACAACAAAAGGUAUUAUCCAGCAUAAGAACUUUGGCUUCAGAAUUUGAUGGUAAUUGGUAAAUUAUUUACCUCAACAACCUUCCUAUGUAGAUUUGCAAACUGUUAGGUAUAGGGAUUAGCGACUGGGCUGUAGUAAUGGUGAAGAUGACGUAGGAAUAAGCAAAUGACAUUUAUUGUCUUGAGUGCUAAUGGGUAGCAGAAAUGUGACAUGCAGCGUGCUUCACUUGGUCACAUGCAGAAAUGCCAAUUAGACUAACCUGGGAGGAGUGCUGGGAUUGAGAUGUGGAUAGAAAAUUUACUUUUUAUUCCAUUUUAUUUAUUUAUUGGAUCAUGUAUUUUGGCCUAGUGCUCUUUUCUUGAAAAUUGGUAUUGUUAAUUUUAAUUUCAUGUUUG